GCCCAGAGCCUGAAUCAGUGUGUGUGUUAGUGGAAGCGUCUGGAAAGGCGCGCGAUACAGGGUGACAGCCCCGUACACAAAAAUGCACAUGCUGUGAGCUCGAUGAGUAGGGCGGGACACGUGGUAUCCUGUCUGAAUAUGGGGGGACCAUCCUCCAAGGCUAAAUACUCCUGACUGACCGAUAGUGAACCAGUACCGUGAGGGAAAGGCGAAAAGAACCCCGGCGAGGGGAGUGAAAAAGAACCUGAAACCGUGUACGUACAAGCAGUGGGAGCACGCUUAGGCGUGUGACUGCGUACCUUUUGUAUAAUGGGUCAGCGACUUAUAUUCUGUAGCAAGGUUAACCGAAUAGGGGAGCCGAAGGGAAACCGAGUCUUAACUGGGCGUUAAGUUGCAGGGUAUAGACCCGAAACCCGGUGAUCUAGCCAUGGGCAGGUUGAAGGUUGGGUAACACUAACUGGAGGACCGAACCGACUAAUGUUGAAAAAUUAGCGGAUGACUUGUGGCUGGGGGUGAAAGGCCAAUCAAACCGGGAGAUAGCUGGUUCUCCCCGAAAGCU
rnacentral:rRNA from 1 species